rnacentral:rRNA from 1 species
UACGGGGGGGGGCAAGCGUUGUUCGGAAUUACUGGGCGUAAAGGGCUCGUAGGCGGCCAACUAAGUCAGACGUGAAAUCCCCUCGGCUUAACCGGGGAACUGCGUCUGAUACUGGAUGGCUUGAGGUUGGGAGAGGGAUGCGGAAUUCCAGGUGUAGCGGUGAAAAUGCGUAGAUAUCUGGAGGAACACCGGUGGCGAAGGCGGCAUCCUGGACCAAAUCUGACGCUGAGGAGCGAAAAGCCAGGGGAGCAAAAGCGGG